GACGAACGCUGGCGGCGUGCUUAACACAUGCAAGUCGAACGGAAAGGCCCUGCUUUUGUGGGGUGCUCGAGUGGCGAACGGGUGAGUAACACGUGAGUAACCUGCCCUUGACUUUGGGAUAACUUCAGGAAACUGGGGCUAAUACCGGAUAGGAGCUCCUGCUGCAUGGUGGGGGUUGGAAAGUUUCGGCGGUUGGGGAUGGACUCGCGGCUUAUCAGCUUGUUGGUGGGGUAGUGGCUUACCAAGGCUUUGACGGGUAGCCGGCCUGAGAGGGUGACCGGCCACGUUGGGACUGAGAUACGGCCCAGAGUGCUACGGGAGGCAGCAGUGGGGAAUAUUGCGCAGUGGGCGGAGGCCUGAUGCAGCAACGCCGCGUGCGGGAUGACGGCCUUCGGGUUGUAAACCGCUUUCGCCUGUGACGAAGCGUGAGUGACGGUAAUGGGUAAAGAAGCACCGGCUAACUACGUG
rnacentral:rRNA from 1 species